rnacentral:rRNA from 1 species
CCUACGGUGUGCAGCAGUAGGGAAUAUUGCUCAAUGGGGGAAACCCUGAAGCAGCAACGCCGCGUGGAGGAUGAAGGUUUUAGGAUUGUAAACUCCUUUUGUGAGAGAAGAUACUGACGGUAUCUCACGAAUACGCACCGGCUCACUCCGUGACAGCAGCCGCGGUAAUACGGAGUGUGCACGCGUUACUCGGUAUCACUGGGCGUAAAGAGUGCGCAGGAGGGCUUGUAAGUCAGAUGUGAAAGGCUGUAGCUUAACUACAGAAUUGCAUUUGAAACUAUGAGUCUAGAGUGUGGGAGAGGUAGGUGGAAGUCGUGGUGUAGGGGUAAAAUCCGUAGAUAUCAAGAGGAAUACUCAUUGCGAAGGCGACCUACUGGAACAUUACUGACGCUCAUGCACGAAAGCGUGGGGAGCAAACAGGAUUAGAUACCCGAGUAGUC